ACGCGUAGAAUCUGGCUNUAGGUCUGGGACAACCACUGGAAACGGUGGCUAAUACCGGAUGUGCCGAAAGGUGAAAGGUUAACUGCCUGGAGAUGAGCUCGCGUCUGAUUAGCUAGUAGGUGUGGUAAGAGCGCACCUAGGCGACGAUCAGUAGCUGGUCUGAGAGGACGAUCAGCCACACUGGGACUGAGACACGGCCCAGACUCCUACGGGAGGCAGCAGUGGGGAAUUUUCCGCAAUGGGCGAAAGCCUGACGGAGCAAUACCGCGUGAGGGAGGAAGGCUCUUGGGUCGUAAACCUCUUUUCUCAGGGAAGAACAAAAUGACGGUACCUGAGGAAUAAGCAUCGGCUAACUCCGUGCCAGCAGCCGCGGUAAUACGGAGGAUGCAAGCGUUAUCCGGAAUGAUUGGGCGUAAAGCGUCCGCAGGUGGCUGUGUAAGUCUGCUGUUAAAGAGUCUAGCUCAACUAGAUACAAGCAGUGGAAACUACACGGCUAGAGUACGUUCGGGGCAGAGGGAAUUCCUGGUGUAGCGGUGAAAUGCGUAGAGAUCAGGAAGAACACCAGUGGCGAAGGCGCUCUGCUAGGCCGUAACUGACACUGAGGGACGAAAGCUANGGGAGCGAAAGGGAUUANAUACC
rnacentral:rRNA from 1 species